GCGUGCGGCACCCAGCAGCCACCGCGCGGCAGGGCCGCCGGCGCUUGCGCACGUAGGCGUCAUUUCCGCGCCGUCUGUUUUGGCUCCCAGCGCCCAAUCCUAAAACGCGACCCCUGGCCCCACCCUCGGCUGAGGAGCCAGACCCAGGCUGUCAGGAGCCGCGCAGGCGCGGAGGAGCAGCAGUCGCAAGCUGAGAUGUGCAGUGCGUUUUAAGUUCGCGUCAUCCCUCCGCGGUUCCGAGACCCAAGCUUCUACCGAGUUUCUUGGGGUGAGAAAAGUUUGGGGAACAACCCUUCCAGGGCUCUUGUGGUCCUCUCAUCCUGACAGGGAAAAGAAGAGAGAAGUUAGUAGAACAGACUACAGCCCUUGUUGCUGCAGGACGUGACAAAGCUACAACUGUCUGUCUUUCCCACUCAGUGUCCAUGAUGCAUUGCUGCCAGCUGAUUUUUGUGGCCAACACAUCGUACAGUAACUGCCCAGUAAGCCACACUCUGUACAAUCCUCUCUCCCUGAGCACACGUGACAUCUGUGACUUGCUUCUAAUCAGGAGAAUAUGGCAACAGUGAAGGACUGUCACUCCCUUCAUUAGGUUACUAUCUACAGAUUUAUCUGUAUCUAUCCAUAUCUAUAGCUAUGUAACUCCAACUUUCUUGCACACACACUAGAGAGAUCCUUUUUGCUGGCUUUGAAGAAGUGAGCUGCCAUGCAGUGCAAGGCCUUUGGUAAGGCUCAGGUGGCAAGGAGCUGUAGGUGGCCUGUAGGACCUGAGUGUCCUUAGUCAUUUAUCCACAAGGACAUGAAUCAGAUUUAAAUUCUUCCCAAGCGGGGCUUCCAGAUGAGAUUGCAGUGUGGCUGACCUCUCAACUGUAGCCUUGUGUGAUCACGAGCAGAAGACCCAGUUAAGCUGUGCCUGAACACCUUUCCCAUGGAAACUGUGAGACAAUAAAUGUGCAUUGUUUGAAGUCACUAAUUUCGUGGAAAUUUGUUUUACAGCAA